GGCCCAGGCCCUGGUCCUGGCCCUGGCCCUGGUCCUGGCCCAGGCCCAGGCCCUGGUCAUAGU
ensembl:miRNA predicted gene, 22697